AAUCAGAUGCCUCUCAUGGUCCCAGAUGGUUGGACUUUGCAAGCUGCUUCUCCUCGUCACUCUUUCUCUAAUUAACUUCAUAGGCAUAUUAGUCAUAAUUAGUCAACAUGUUAAUUAAUUAUCUCUUAUUAUAUCAUCAAACUCUCUUCCUUUGCUUAAUGUAAUUUUAUUUUGAGCUUAUAGUCAUUAUCAUUUUGUGUGUUUUGGUAUAGCGAUCACUAGCAAUAUUACUAUUAUGUCCCACCCUUGUUGGCCCACUAGCUAUUUAUAAAUGGAAUAAAAAUGACAAAAAUUAUAGAAUAGU
rnacentral:misc_RNA from 1 species